rnacentral:rRNA from 1 species
AAUUGACGGGACCCGCACAAGCGGUGGAUGACGUGGAUUAAUUCGAUGCAACGCGAAAAACCUUACCUACCCUUGACAUGUCUGGAACCUUGGUGAGAGCCGAGGGUGCCUUCGGGAGCCAGAACACAGGUGCUGCAUGGCUGUCGUCAGCUCGUGUCGUGAGAUGUUGGGUUAAGUCCCGCAACGAGCGCAACCCUUGUCACUAGUUGCCAUCAUUUGGUUGGGCACUCUAGUGAGACUGCCGGUGACAAACCGGAGGAAGGUGGGGAUGACGUCAAGUCCUCAUGGCCCUUAUGGGUAGGGCUUCACACGUCAUACAAUGGAUGGUACAAAGGGUCGCCAACCCGCGAGGGGGAGCCAAUCCCAUAAAGCCAUUCGUAGUCCGGAUCGCAGUCUGCAACUCGACUGCGUGAAGUCGGAAUCGCUAGUAAUCGUGGAUCAGAAUGUCACGGUGAAUACGUUCCCGGGUCUU